GAUGAACGCUGGCGGCGUGCCUAAUACAUGCAAGUCGAGCGAACAGACGAGGAGCUUGCUCCUCUGACGUUAGCGGCGGACGGGUGAGUAACACGUGGAUAACCUACCUAUAAGACUGGGAUAACUUCGGGAAACCGGAGCUAAUACCGGAUAAUAUAUUGAACCGCAUGGUUCAAUAGUGAAAGACGGUUUUGCUGUCACUUAUAGAUGGAUCCGCGCCGCAUUAGCUAGUUGGUAAGGUAACGGCUUACCAAGGCAACGAUGCGUAGCCGAACUGAGAGGGUGAUCGGCCACACUGGAACUGAGACACGGUCCAGACUCUUACGGGAGGCAGCAGUAGGGAAUCUUCCGCAAUGGGCGAAAGCUUGACGGAGCAACGCCGCGUGAGUGAUGAAGGUCUUCGGAUCGUAAAACUCUGUUAUUAGGGAAGAACAAAUGUGUAAGUAACUAUGCACGUCUUGACGGUACCUAAUCAGAAAGCCACGGCUAACUACGUG
rnacentral:rRNA from 1 species